rnacentral:rRNA from 1 species
GGGUUGUGAGGUUAAGCGACUAAGCGUACACGGUGGAUGCCCUGGCAGUCAGAGGCGAUGAAGGACGUGCUAAUCUGCGAUAAGCGUCGGUAAGGUGAUAUGAACCGUUAUAACCGGCGAUUUCCGAAUGGGGAAACCCAGUGUGAUUCGUCACACUAUCAUUAACUGAAUCCAUAGGUUAAUGAGGCGAACCGGGGGAACUGAAACAUCUAAGUACCCCGAGGAAAAGAAAUCAACCGAGAUUCCCCCAGUAGCGGCGAGCGAACGGGGAGCAGCCCAGAGCCUGAAUCAGUGUGUGUGUUAGUGGAAGCGUCUGGAAAGGCGUGCGAUACAGGGUGACAGCCCCGUACACAAAAAUGCACAUAUUGUGAGCUCGAUGAGUAGGGCGGGACACGUGGUAUCCUGUCUGAAUAUGGGGGGACCAUCCUCCAAGGCUAAAUACUCCUGACUGACCGAUAGUGAACCAGUACCGUGAGGGAAAGGCGAAAAGAACCCCGGCGAGGGGAGUGAAAAAGAACCUGAAACCGUGUACGUACAAGCAGUGGGAGCACGCUUAGGCGUGUGACUGCGUACCUUUUGUAUAAUGGGUCAGCGACUUAUAUUCUGUAGCAAGGUUAACCGAAUAGGGGAGCCGAAGGGAAACCGAGUCUUAACUGGGCGUUAAGUUGCAGGGUAUAGACCCGAAACCCGGUGAUCUAGCCAUGGGCAGGUUGAAGGUUGGGUAACACUAACUGGAGGACCGAACCGACUAAUGUUGAAAAAUUAGCGGAUGACUUGUGGCUGGGGGUGAAAGGCCAAUCAAACCGGGAGAUAGCUGGUUCUCCCCGAAAGCUAUUUAGGUAGCGCCUCGUGAAUUCAUCUCCGGGGGUAGAGCACUGUUUCGGCAAGGGGGUCAUCCCGACUUACCAACCCGAUGCAAACUGCGAAUACCGGAGAAUGUUAUCACGGGAGACACACGGCGGGUGCUAACGUCCGUCGUGAAGAGGGAAACAACCCAGACCGCCAGCUAAGGUCCCAAAGUCAUGGUUAAGUGGGAAACGAUGUGGGAAGGCCCAGACAGCCAGGAUGUUGGCUUAGAAGCAGCCAUCAUUUAAAGAAAGCGUAAUAGCUCACUGGUCGAGUCGGCCUGCGCGGAAGAUGUAACGGGGCUAAACCAUGCACCGAAGCUGCGGCAGCGACGCUUAUGCGUUGUUGGGUAGGGGAGCGUUCUGUAAGCCUGUGAAGGUGUGCUGUGAGGCAUGCUGGAGGUAUCAGAAGUGCGAAUGCUGACAUAAGUAACGAUAAAGCGGGUGAAAAGCCCGCUCGCCGGAAGACCAAGGGUUCCUGUCCAACGUUAAUCGGGGCAGGGUGAGUCGACCCCUAAGGCGAGGCCGAAAGGCGUAGUCGAUGGGAAACAGGUUAAUAUUCCUGUACUUGGUGUUACUGCGAAGGGGGGACGGAGAAGGCUAUGUUGGCCGGGCGACGGUUGUCCCGGUUUAAGCGUGUAGGCUGGUUUUCCAGGCAAAUCCGGAAAAUCAAGGCUGAGGCGUGAUGACGAGGCACUACGGUGCUGAAGCAACAAAUGCCCUGCUUCCAGGAAAAGCCUCUAAGCAUCAGGUAACAUCAAAUCGUACCCCAAACCGACACAGGUGGUCAGGUAGAGAAUACCAAGGCGCUUGAGAGAACUCGGGUGAAGGAACUAGGCAAAAUGGUGCCGUAACUUCGGGAGAAGGCACGCUGAUAUGUAGGUGAAGUCCCUUGCGGAUGGAGCUGAAAUCAGUCGAAGAUACCAGCUGGCUGCAACUGUUUAUUAAAAACACAGCACUGUGCAAACACGAAAGUGGACGUAUACGGUGUGACGCCUGCCCGGUGCCGGAAGGUUAAUUGAUGGGGUCAGCGCAAGCGAAGCUCUUGAUCGAAGCCCCGGUAAACGGCGGCCGUAACUAUAACGGUCCUAAGGUAGCGAAAUUCCUUGUCGGGUAAGUUCCGACCUGCACGAAUGGCGUAAUGAUGGCCAGGCUGUCUCCACCCGAGACUCAGUGAAAUUGAACUCGCUGUGAAGAUGCAGUGUACCCGCGGCAAGACGGAAAGACCCCGUGAACCUUUACUAUAGCUUGACACUGAACAUUGAGCCUUGAUGUGUAGGAUAGGUGGGAGGCUUUGAAGUGUGGACGCCAGUCUGCAUGGAGCCGACCUUGAAAUACCACCCUUUAAUGUUUGAUGUUCUAACGUGGACCCGUGAUCCGGGUUGCGGACAGUGUCUGGUGGGUAGUUUGACUGGGGCGGUCUCCUCCUAAAGAGUAACGGAGGAGCACGAAGGUUGGCUAAUCCUGGUCGGACAUCAGGAGGUUAGUGCAAUGGCAUAAGCCAGCUUGACUGCGAGCGUGACGGCGCGAGCAGGUGCGAAAGCAGGUCAUAGUGAUCCGGUGGUUCUGAAUGGAAGGGCCAUCGCUCAACGGAUAAAAGGUACUCCGGGGAUAACAGGCUGAUACCGCCCAAGAGUUCAUAUCGACGGCGGUGUUUGGCACCUCGAUGUCGGCUCAUCACAUCCUGGGGCUGAAGUAGGUCCCAAGGGUAUGGCUGUUCGCCAUUUAAAGUGGUACGCGAGCUGGGUUUAGAACGUCGUGAGACAGUUCGGUCCCUAUCUGCCGUGGGCGCUGGAGAACUGAGGGGGGCUGCUCCUAGUACGAGAGGACCGGAGUGGACGCAUCACUGGUGUUCGGGUUGUCAUGCCAAUGGCACUGCCCGGUAGCUAAAUGCGGAAGAGAUAAGUGCUGAAAGCAUCUAAGCACGAAACUUGCCCCGAGAUGAGUUCUCCCUGACUCCUUGAGAGUCCUGAAGGAACGUUGAAGACGACGACGUUGAUAGGCCGGGUGUGUAAGCGCAGCGAUGCGUUGAGCUAACCGGUACUAAUGAACCGUGAGGCUUAACCUUACAACGCCGAAGGUGUUU